rnacentral:rRNA from 1 species
UACGUAGGGACUGAGCGUUGUCCGGAAUCAUUGGGCGUAAAGAGCGUGUAGGCGGCCACUUAAGUCCUGCGUGAAAUCUUGCGGCUCAACCGCAAGCGGUCGUGGGAAACUGGGUGGCUAGAGUGCGGGAGAGGAGAGUGGAAUUCCUGGUGUAGCGGUGGAAUGCGCAGAUAUCAGGAAGAACACCCGUGGCGAAGGCGGCUCUCUGGAACGCAACUGACGCUGAGACGCGAAAGCGUGGGGAGCAAACAGG